CUACGUAGCUCAGAGUUUGUAUCCUGGCUCAGGAUGAACGCUAGCGGCAGGCCUAAUACAUGCAAGUCGAACGGUAAAUGCCCCUUCGGGGAUAUGAGAGUGGCGCACGGGUGCGUAACGCGUAUGCAACCUACCCAAUGCUGGCGGAUAGCCCGAAGAAAUUCGGAUUAACCCGUCAUGAGGAGCUGAAUGGGCAUCCAUAUGGUUUCAAAUAUUUAUAGGCGUUGGAUGGGCAUGCGUGCUAUUAGAUAGUUGGCGGGGUAACGGCCCACCAAGUCGACGAUAGCUAGGGGAUCUGAGAGGACGGUCCCCCACACUGGUACUGAGACACGGACCAG
rnacentral:rRNA from 1 species